rnacentral:rRNA from 1 species
UACGUAGGGGGCAAGCGUUGUCCGGAUUUAUUGGGCGUAAAGAGCGUGUAGGCGGCCAGAUAGGUCAGCUGUGAAAACUCGAGGCUCAACCUCGAGACGUCGGUUGAAACCAUCUGGCUAGAGUCCGGAAGAGGAGAGUGGAAUUCCCGGUGUAGCGGUGAAAUGCGCAGAUAUCAGGAGGAACACCGGUGGCGAAGGCGCUGCUCUGGGCCGGUACUGACGCUGAGGAGCGAAAGCGUGGGUAGCAAACAGG